rnacentral:rRNA from 1 species
CCUACGGGAGGCAGCAGUGGGGAAUAUUGCACAAUGGGGGAAACCCUGAUGCAGCGACGCCGCGUGAGUGAAGAAGUAUUUCGGUAUGUAAAGCUCUAUCAGCAGGGAAGCGAAUGACGGUACCUGAGUAAGAAGCCCCGGCUAACUACGUGACAGCAGCCGCGGUAAUACGUAGGGGGCAAGCGUUAUCCGGAUUUAGUGGGUGUAAAGGGGGAGUAGACGGCGAAGAAAGUCUGAAGUGAAAGCCCGCGGCUCAACCGCGGAACUGCUUUGAAAACUUUGUUGCUGGAGUACCGGUGAGGUAAGGGGAAUUCCGGGUGUAGCGGUGAAAUGCGUAGAUAUGAGGAGGAACACCAGUGGCGAGGGCGGCUUACGGGACGGUAACUGACGUUGAGGCUCGAAAGCGUGGGGAGCAAACAGGAUUAGAUACCCGUGUAGU